rnacentral:rRNA from 1 species
CACGUAGGGGGCAAGCGUUGUCCGGAUUUAUUGGGCGUAAAGAGCUCGUAGGUGGUUCGGUAAGUCGGGUGUUAAACCCCCAGGCUCAACCUGGGGACGCCACUCGAUACUGCUGUGACUAGAGUCCGGUAGGGGAGCGUGGAAUUCCUGGUGUAGCGGUGAAAUGCGCAGAUAUCAGGAGGAACACCAGCGGCGAAGGCGGCGCUCUGGGCCGGUACUGACACUUAGGAGCGAAAGCGUGGGUAGCAAACAGG